rnacentral:rRNA from 1 species
GUGUCAGCAGCCGCGGUAAUACGAAGGGAGCGAGCGUUAUUCGGAAUUACUGGGCGUAAAGAGCGCGUAGGCGGCUAGCUAAGUCAGUUGUUAAAUUCCUCGGCUUAACUGAGGAUCUGCGACUGAUACUGGCUAUGCUAGAGUACAGGAGGGAGAGGUGGAAUUAUCGGAGUAGCGGUAAAAUGCGUAGAUCUCGAUAGGAACAUCGAUAGCGAAGGCAGCUUCUUGGUCUGUGUCUGACGCUGAUGCGCGAAAGCGUGGGGAGCAAACAGGAUUAGAUACCCUGGUAGUCC